rnacentral:lncRNA from 1 species
AAAAAAGAGCCAGGGGUAGUGUCACAUGCUUGUCAUCCUCAGUCUGUAGCAGUAAAUAAGGCAGGUCCCCAGGCCAGCCAGUCUAGCAUAAUUAACAAGCUCCAGGCCAAUGGAAAGUACAAAAAACACCUGCCUUGUAUAAAAAACAAGAUAGAUGGCACCUAAGGUGUCCUCUGGCUUCUAUCCCCCCCACCCCACACCCACACACAUAGGUAACCCCCACCCCCAUACACACACAUGCAAAAAACAGCAAUAGAAAGCCCAAAACAAAGAGAGAAAACUCCAGAGAUGCUUGUAUUCACGAGGGGUGAUGGCAAAUGGGUACUAAUGGAAGAACUAGGAAAUAACUCAUUGUACUCAUUUUAAUAGUGUCUUUUAAAAAGUAGAAAUAUGGCUGACAAUAAAAAUAUUCCUAGGCCAUUUGGAAACUUAAUUUAUUUAGUUUAUUUUUGUUUUCUGCCCUCAAGUCUUCCACCAGCACCACGACAGGAUGUUCAUGGACAGAAGCCAUCUGCAUCCACCCAGCUGUGACCUUGGCAUCCCAAAGAGUCCAUCCUGCUGACUGCUCAGAACCUUGGAGCCAUCUUGGAUCCUUUUUCCCAAGUCUCAUCUCAAAGCCCAUCCAUCAGCAUAUCCUGUCAGCUCAGCCUUCAGACUGCAUCCAGAAUCUGAUUGCUUCUGCUGAGUUCUACUGGUGCCAUUGUGCUCAAGGAAGCUGUUCUGUGUCACCUGGAAUACUGCCCCUAUGCUCUGCUUGUAAUUUAGUCCUAAUACAGAAUCUAAAGUGGUCCUGUAAGAUCCUAAGUCAGAUAAGGUGGUAUGUUUGGGAGAGGUUGCUGUGUGUAACUCCUUUGGGCUGCGAAGCAGAAAACAGGACUGAAGGCCUGGGGAACUUAAUCCAGAACUCUGAGCACCAAUUGCAUGAAGAAACCACCUGGGAAGCAUUUGUGCUGCCCUUUCAAAAGGGUUAGCUUCCCUUCAAUUCAGCCAAGCCAGACACAACUCCUGAUGUCAGUUUCACGGCGAAGAUCUUGACAGGAGGACUUCAGCUCUCAGGUGAUAUGAAAAGCUGUGAUUUCCACUUCUGAUCAUUUCUCAUAUUCCUGAAGCCAUAGAUGAAGGCAGGGAUAACCACCCAUAGAAUGGAAAUGAAGCCCUUGAUCCCCAGAUGAUCAAUGAAAAGAGGUGCUGUGAUAGAGACCAUGACCAAAUCAACUUGGGGAGAAAGGGUUUGUUUGGCUUACACACCCUGACCAAAAUCCAUCAUGAAGG